AGAUUUCAUGUCAUGUGAACAAUGGAUGCCUUGUAAGUUUAUGUGCUACACAAACAUCUGAAGGACUUCCUAGACCAAAAUGAAAUGACGGGCUUAUUGAAGGUUAACCAUUAGGAUAUUCAGUUCUUUCUUGGUAAUCUUGUUAGCUAUUCAACAUAGCUUUUCAAAGACUCAGUAGAUUAAACUUGCCUUUGAUAGCUGUUUUUAAUUUAAUGUGAUUGAUAAGCAGCACCCCUUCAUGCUCCCUCUCCCUUCCCCACCGCUCUUCUCCCACACCCCGUCACCAUAGGUUCAUUUCCAAAAUGCCUCAGCAACAACAGGGAGCUCAGUGCAGCUCUCUCCUGGGUGGCAGGAAUCCAGCGACCCCCAUCUCAGCACCCCUUCUCGGAGUCGGCCUAGUAGGAAGCUAAGAGUCAGGAACUGCUUGGCAGAGUGGCCUCCUUUGUUUUAUAGGUAUUUGUAGGGUUAAAUAUUUUUGUUUCUCUUUACGCAUUUCAAAAUCACUUUUAUUAUGUGUUUUACUGAGAUAAAAUUGAUUUUAGUAAGUAUACUUUAUAGACUUUCUUAAGAUUUUUAAAUUUUUAUUGGAAAGGCAGAUACACAGAAGGAGAUGAAGAAAGAUCCUCCAUCUGCUGAUUGCCCCCCAAAGUGGCCAAGAUGGCAGGAGCUGAGUCGAUCUGAACCCAGGAGCCUCCUCUGGAUGCCCUGCACAAACACAGGGUCCCAGAACUUUUUGAGCCAUACUGCACUGCCUUCCCAGGCCACAGGCAGAGAGCUGGGUGGGAAGUGGAGCAGCCUCUUAAGACACUUACCAGCGCCCACAUGGGAUCCUGGCACGUACAAGGUUGGGUCAAGAAUACCUGUUUUUGUUUUUGAAUGAAUGCAAGCAUGCCAUCCUAAGAAGAGAGAAUGUGAUCCUUUUCAGUUGUUCUUGAGAAAUCACAUGAUUGGGUAUCAAGGUGGCCUCUUCACAUGGUAGUCACUUAAAUGUCCUGAAGAAAGGUCUUCAUCCAAGUGUGACUCUUACCUCCAUCAAAGCCAUGGUUACUGGCUGACACGUAACAUAUUCUCACUGCGUUUGGGACAAGUUAAGAUGCAGCAUCAGAGUCCACAGGGUCCGCGCUGGGGGCCUCUCACAUCUGACACCAGUCACGAACCCAGGAGCACCCCACAAGUGUGACUGACACAUUGGCCCCACGUGUGAGGGUCCCCCAGGACCCUUCAGGAGCACCAGGCACAGGAAGGACUCCUACAGUCUAGGCAGGUCCAGAGAAGCUCAGCAAGCCUCCUACUGGAGCUGGAAAAGACCUAAAUUCCUACUCCCGUGGCCACCAACACCAGCAUGCUAGAGCCCAGUCAUAGCCCCAGCCUGCCAAUACCAGCAUGGCACAGCACAAGACCAAAGCCCACAUUGCUGUGGCUCCUUCAUGACACAGAAUCGCACUAUAGCUGCAGCCAGCACCAGAGG